GUUUGUUUGUGGCUGCUGGAAUCACAGAGAAGAUCGACCUAGAGAAAGUUUGUCUACUCUGUGAGACCUAAGACUGCUGUGAAAAAACAUAUUUGCAGUUGCAGCUGGCCAUCCGUGAAGAAGCAUCCACUGAAUCUGUCAGAAAGUGCUCUGGGUUGGAUAACAAUGACGAGGCACUCAUCUGAACGGGUCCGUCUGGCGUCUCCUGUCUGCCCUACAUCAUCCUGUCCUCCAAAGUCUUCAUCUGCUUUCUCCUACAUGGAAAUCUUAAUAAACGUCACCC